rnacentral:rRNA from 1 species
GCAAGUCGAACGAGAUCCUUCGGGGUCUAGUGGCGCACGGGUGCGUAACGCGUGGGAAUCUGCCUUUCGGUACGGAAUAACUCAGGGAAACUUGUGCUAAUACCGUAUGACGUCGCGAGACCAAAGAUUUAUCGCCGAAAGAUGAGCCCGCGUAGGAUUAGCUAGUUGGUGGGGUAAAGGCCUACCAAGGCGACGAUCCUUAGCUGGUCUGAGAGGAUGAUCAGCCACACUGGGACUGAGACACGGCCCAGACUCCUACGGGAGGCAGCAGUGGGGAAUAUUGGACAAUGGGCGAAAGCCUGAUCCAGCAAUGCCGCGUGAGUGAUGAAGGCCUUAGGGUUGUAAAGCUCUUUUACCCGGGAUGAUAAUGACAGUACCGGGAGAAUAAGCCCCGGCUAACUCCGUGCCAGCAGCCGCGGUAAUACGGAGGGGGCUAGCGUUGUUCGGAAUUACUGGGCGUAAAGCGUACGUAGGCGGUGACUCAAGUCAGAGGUGAAAGCCCGGGGCUCAACUCCGGAAUUGCCUUUGAAACUAGGUCGCUUGAACGUCGGAGAGGUGAGUGGAAUUCCGAGUGUAGAGGUGAAAUUCGUAGAUAUUCGGAAGAACACCAGUGGCGAAGGCGGCUCACUGGACGACUGUUGACGCUGAGGUACGAAAGCGUG